rnacentral:rRNA from 1 species
CACGUAGGGUGCGAGCGUUGUCCGGAAUUAUUGGGCGUAAAGAGCUCGUAGGCGGUGUGUCGCGUCGGCCGUGAAAACCUGCAGCUUAACUGUGGGCUUGCGGUCGAUACGGGCAUCACUGGAGUUCGGCAGGGGAGACUGGAAUUCCUGGUGUAGCGGUGAAAUGCGCAGAUAUCAGGAGGAACACCGGUGGCGAAGGCGGGUCUCUGGCCCGAUACUGACGCUGAGGUGCGAAAGCGUGGGGAGCAAACAGG